GACGAACGCUGGCGGCGUGCUUAACACAUGCAAGUCGAACGGAAAGGCACUGCUUUUGUGGGGUGCUCGAGUGGCGAACGGGUGCGUAACAGGUGAGUAACCUGCCCUUGACUUUGGUAUAACUUCAGGAAACUGGGGCUAAUACCGGAUAGGAGCUCCUGCUCCGUGGUGGGGGUGGGAAAGUUUCGGCGGUUGGGGUUGGACUCGCGGCUUAUGAGCUUGUUGGUGGGGUAGUGGAUUACCAAGGCUUGGACGGGUAGCCGGCCUGAGAGGGUGACCGGCCACAUUGGGACUGAGAUACGGCCCAGACUCCUACGGGAGGCAGCAGUGGGGAAUAUUGCACAAUGGGCGGAAGGCUGAUGCAGCAACGCCGCGUGGGGGAGGACGGCCUUCGGGUUGUAAACGGCUUUCGCCUGUGACGAGGCGUGAGGGACGGUAAUGGGUAAAGAAGCACCGGCUAAUUACGU
rnacentral:rRNA from 1 species